UACGUAGGGGGCAAGCGUUGUUCGGAUUUACUGGGCGUAAAGGGCGCGUAGGCGGCGCAACAAGUCACUUGUGAAAUCUCCGGGCUUAACCCGGAGCGGUCAAGUGAUACUGUCGUGCUAGAGUGCGGAAGGGGCUACUGGAAUUCUCGGUGUAGCGGUGAAAUGCGUAGAUAUCGAGAGGAACACCUGCGGCGAAGGCGGGUAGCUGGGCCGACACUGACGCUGAGGCGCGAAAGCCAGGGGGAGCAAAACGGGG
rnacentral:rRNA from 1 species